GGUGGUGCAUCCGGCCAAUUUCUAGGGUUUCUGUGGUUAUCCUAAAAGUCAUACUGAUUGCAUAUCAGUUAUCACACCGCACUAUUCAAACCCACCAACCACCAAAAUCUUCAAAAAUUUCAAUGGAGCUUUAACAAUGGUCUGAUUCAAGGGUGUUUUCUUUGGGUUGUUUGGGCAAACUAGCAGAUAAGGAUGAUAAGUUGCCGGGAGUGUACAAUGGUUACUUGAUUGUUAAAUGUUAAGUUCAGUCUUAUCGCAUUGGAUUUUAGGGGGUUUCGCAACGGCAUUUGCGGCCAUUAUCUUUAUUUGGUCCACAUCGACAUUCUCAUAGAACAAAAAAGGGACAACAUGUGAACACGUGUUACUUGCACAUGAGGGGAUAAAUGCUGAGCAGCUGGCACCUAAUUUAAAAUCAUUUGAGUUGAAGGUGCCAAAGGAAUUUUUUUAUCAGCCUAAAUGGUCUCUUUAAGACACACUUACAGUACAGGGGAACAUAAAAAUGGAAGUAGCUCCUUCAUUCAAUCAUGCAGGUAGCUAUUUGGGUCAUAUUAAGGUGACAAAAUAACUUGGUAAUCAAACAGAAGGAACCUAAUCUGGAAGGGGCGAAAGAACGGAUUAGACACUUGGGUCAGGAGUUGAGCAAAAGGAAUUAAAUGUCUCAUGGUCCUAAUGGUGUAGGAUGGAUGUUUCAAGUAUGGGUCAGUAAUGUUUGUGGUGUUUUGUAAUUGAUAUACUGCACUUGGUGUGGUCUAACAUUGUAAGC
rnacentral:lncRNA from 1 species